GACGAACGCUGGCGGCGUGCCUAAUACAUGCAAGUAGCACGCCGUUUCGCACGGGUGAGUAACGUGUAUGUAACUGCCUCAUUGCGGGGGAUGACUAUUGGAAACGAUAGGUUAUACCGCAUACUGUGAGCUGGACCUGCUUUGUAUGAGCUAGUUGGUGAGGUAAAGGCGCACCAAGGCGGCUAAACAUAGCCGAUCUGAGAGGGUGGACGGCCAACAAGGUACUGGGACACGGCCCAGACUUCUACGGGGAGCAGCAGUAGGGAAGCUUCGGCAAUGGACGGAAGUCUUACCGAGCAACGCCGCGUGAGUGAAGAAGGUUUUCGGAGCGUAAAGCUCUGUUGUUAGAGAAGCGGUAACUAACCAGAAAGGGACGGCUAACUACGUGCCAGCAGCCGCGGUAAUUC
rnacentral:rRNA from 1 species